rnacentral:rRNA from 1 species
AACGAACGCUGGCGGCAGGCCUAACACAUGCAAGUCGAACGCUCCGCAAGGGGAGUGGCGCACGGGUGAGUAACACGUGGGAACCUACCUUCUGGUACGGAACAACCAAGGGAAACUUUGGCUAAGACCGUAUACGACCUCCGGGUGAAAGAUUGAUCGCCGGAAGAGGGGCCCGCGUCCGAUUAGGUAGUUGGUGAGGUAACGGCUCACCAAGCCUUCGAUCGGUAGCUGGUCUGAGAGGAUGACCAGCCACACUGGGACUGAGACACGGCCCAGACUCCUACGGGAGGCAGCAGUCGGGAAUUUUGCGCAAUGGACGAAAGUCUGACGCAGCAACGCCGCGUGAGGAUGACGGCCU